rnacentral:rRNA from 1 species
CGGCAACAGCUCAAAUUUGAAAUCUGGCCCCCGGGUCCGAGUUGUAAUUUGCAGAGGAUGCUUUUGGUGAGGUGCCUUCCGAGUUCCCUGGAACGGGACGCCAUAGAGGGUGAGAGCCCCGUCUGGUCGCGCACCGAGCCUCUGUAAAGCUCCUUCGAC